CUACGGGUGGCAGCAGUGAGGAAUAUUGCACAAUGGGGGGAACCCUGAUGCAGCAACGCCGCGUGGAGGAUGACGCAUUUCGGUGUGUAAACUCCUUUUAUAUGUCAAGAAAAUAACGGUAGCAUAUGAAUAAGCACCGGCUAACUCCGUGCCAGCAGCCGCGGUAAUACGGAGGGUGCAAGCGUUACUCGGAAUCACUGGGCGUAAAGGACGCGUAGGCGGGUUGGAAAGUCAGGUGUGAAAUCCUACAGCUUAACUGUAGAACUGCACUUGAAACUUCUAAUCUAGAGUAUGGGAGGGGGAGAUGGAAUUUGUGGUGUAGGGGUAAAAUCCGUGGAUAUCACUAGGAAUACCUAAAGCGAAGGCGAUCUCCCGGAACAUUACUGACGCUAAGGCGUGAAAGCGUGGGGAGCAAACAGGAUUAGAUACCCCCGUAGUC
rnacentral:rRNA from 1 species